ensembl:lncRNA
UCCCCCUCCCCAAUACCCAGCUAAUGCCCUGCUGAGAUCUCGUAGCUUCCUGCUGCCGGAGCUCGACCUGAAAGGAACUUCUUAAUACAGAAUGGCUCUUCUUCAACAUUUUGACGGUGCUGGACAACAAGCUCCACCUGAAGGACUCAGCAGGAAACUUGUUGUUGUUGUUCUGCAGCUUAGAGGGACAGGAAGCUCUGAUCUUCAUGCCCCGUGUCGCUUAAGAGAAUAAAAAAGGGCCUGUCCACUAAAACCGAGCUUUCAACCAAACUGAGAAUAACCACACAACUUUGAAAAGGGAGUUUCACUCCUCCACCACCUCUUCUUCUUCUUCUCUCCUCCUUUUGUGGUGUUCUAGUGAAGUAAACCAAAAUUUCUCCCCCUCCAAGAUACAGUGCAAGCACAUGUAAUAUAGUUCUAUGUAUGUUUACAAUGUUGGAUGUAAAUGACAUAGAGAUCACGUACACCUACGAAGACACACACACACACACACACUCAUGCAUAUACAUACAGAAGUAUAUAAUAUCAAAGUCCUGUUGUAAGUUGGAAGGGCCUGGGAAAUGUGUUUGGGACGGGAAAAAAUGGCUUGAAUAAAAUAAGCCUUCUGUAUUUUUAAGAAGAAAAAAAAGAUCAUUUGAAGAUCAGUUAUUUCACUGUACAGGAAUAAAAGAUGUAAGUAAUAAAAAACUACUCGAGACUAGACGGUCCAGAUUUAGGUGGUGUAAUUUUUUUCUGCAGAGGUAUACUAAAAAAAGGUAAGAAUGAUGCUGAUCUGUUUUAUUGAAAGGAGAGAUUCCCAUCGGCCAAGAUUUACUAUGGACAAGCUUCUUCUUUUCACCUCCUCAGGAGGAGUAACACCACCCUCAGAUCCCAGUCUACAAACGUUCUGUUCUCACCCCCGUCAUGUCUCCAAAGAUAGCAACUCCUGAAGGGAAGGUUCUCGGAUGAGGGAGCUCUCUGGAUAAGAAGGACGGGCUGCGACUGAACUGGCAACUUCAGCAAACCCCGCAGCAUUGACCCCCCCCCCCCCCUACGGCAGCAGCUGCAGCAGCAACCACGGUGGUGGUGCUUUGUGUUUGUAAAACUAUGUAUUCUGUGAUGUCUGUAUUGUUGUAAGAAAUGCUGAAAAAAAAUGAAAAAAUAAAACUUCUC